rnacentral:lncRNA from 1 species
AGGUGUAAUAGCUUGAAAUAAAUAAUAUAUGUAGAAUUCAAAAUGAGUAAUAGUUUAAAUAUAUAUAAUAUGUAAAAGAAAAAAUGAUUUGAAAUAAAUAAUAUAUAAACUUAAAAUGAAUAAUAAUAAUAGUUUUUUUAAAUGAAAAAACUAAAUAAAUAAAUCAAUUAAACAGACUAAGGAUUAGGCUGAAAUAGAAUUAAAAUUUAAGGUAAAAAUUGUAAAAAAUGAAAAGAAGGCCAUCCAGGACCGAAAUGAAUCACACUGAAACGACGAGGGACUGGCUAGGAAAUAUUCCCAAUCCUUAUGAGCCUCGUUUCAGCAGGGACUCAAAUGUAAUCAGAAGAAAAUUAUUCAGCCGGAUUUAUAAAAAAAAUAAAUAAAGUGAAUGAAGGGGCCAAAUAGUGAGGCGCACAAAGACGGAGGGACCCCACGCAUAAAUAUCCCAAUAAUGGGAAACAUGCGGAUCCCCCUUGGGUACGGGUCGAAUUCAGGUUCCCUCCCUGAAACGACACCGUUUUGAGGCCUGUGGGGAGGGUCUGAAACUACGUCGUUUCGCAUGGCUAUUAAAGCCAAAAAAAAAAAAUUUAAAAUUUUCAUUUCUCUCAUUCCUUUUUAAAAAAAAACAGAAAUAGCCCCCAUCUUCUCUGCGAGGGUUUCGAAAGAACCCCUCUUGAGCCGUCGUCAUCAGCUCGCCGCUCCUCUACCGUGGGCGAUGGUCGGAGCGACAAAGGAUCAGUUUUCAGCCCUACUUCCAAAAGAAUCGAGGGCCACACCCUUUUCAGGCAAAAAAAAAACGAGAGAGAAGCCCUUUUACCUCGCUCUUGGAUUCGAUUCCGGUGACGGAGAAUAAGCUCCGACGACGCAACCCUGAGGCUGCUCCGGUAAGUAUCUCCUUCUCUUCUACUUUUAUUUUCGUAUUUAUAUGAGAAAAUAAAAAUAAAAUAAACUUAAGAUUAAAAUGAUAAAUAAUCCGAAAAUCACCUUAAAAGUUUAGAUCUUUUGUUUUUCUAUUCUAAAAUCUCGAAAGAAGAAGGUACAAGCAUGUUGAUGUGGCUUUUAUAGCCAAAUUACAACACUUUUUAUUUCUAUAUUUUUGUCGUUUUCUCGUUGUUUUCUCUGUUGCUUGCAUGUGGAUCUUGAUUUGCAGGUGGUGUCAAAGAAGCGUGCGAUGGCAGGUGACAGACGAGCCGAGUGGAGGUGGCAGAGGCGCACGGAGAAGCCUGAAGACGUGGUCAUGCGGCUAGGGUUUUCCCUUUUUACUUUUUUUGGCUAAAAAUUAGUUAAGGCUGUGGGCUGAUUGGACCUCUAGAGUUUUAAUAUUUAGGCUGUAAUUGGGUUGGCAACUUUGGUUUAAGUUUGUUGUAAAUGGACUGGGACAUUGGGCUUAUUUAUUAUGUUUAUUUUUUGACUUUAUUUUGUAAAUUAGGCCAGGCCAAAAUUGGCCUAUUACAAUAAUCUUUUGGAUCAAUCUUUUUUUUAUCCUUGUACUUCUUCUUGAGUGUUCGUUUUAUUUUAGAUUUUUUUUAUAUCAUGCUUAUCUUUAAGCAUAUUUUCUUUUCCACUUUUAAAUUGAAGGAAAGGUGCAU